rnacentral:tRNA from 1 species
GGGCCUGUAGCUCAAUCGGUCAGAGCAAAACACUCAUAAUGUUGAGGUUAUCGGUUCAAGUCCGGUCAGGCCCA